CAUAAGUUAUUCUUCCGUUUGUUUCCAUUUAUAUUUUCAUCUAGCUGCAGCCGUUUCAAAUUUCCCUAUUAAGCAGCAAUGCUAUCAAUUUUUAGAGGCGUUAUUAUUGAGUAAUCAAUGUCGUAUUAAUUUUUAUUUAUGCAGCAUGAUUAAAGAUGAUCUCCUUUCACUUUUCUUUCUUUUGUUAGUAUAGGGUUUUUUUCGUCAUCAUCGACAGACCAGGUAUUUGGAAUUUGAUUGAAUGUUUGGUUCUCUCACAAUAGGGAUUGAUAGAUGAGAUUCAAAUCUCUGGACGAAGGUCCGUGAUUGAUGAGGGCAGAAACAUAAUUUUGCACACUAUCAUAUCCAUCAUCAUCAGAAGUUUAAAACUAGUAAAGGCAGAAACAUUUCAAAUGUAAAUGAAAUGGUGAAGGCGGCAAGAUGUUUUUGCACGGUAUCAUGGUAUUCACAUAAAAUAAUUGUCCAUUUUACAGAUUUUUUUUCAUCAUGAAAUCUAAAAUCUGGAUGUGUAUGUUACUGAUAGUUUUGGUGUUAGAUUUCCUUCUCCCAUAUUUAAUGGCUUCUUUUUUGCUAUUUCGCUUAUCAUACAUAAUGGAUGGGGAAAUUCCAUAGGAAACAGGACUUGAUAGAUGUUGUUGAUGUAUGUUUUAGUUAUUCUGUUUAAAUCAUGGAAAAACUACCUAACUGUAGAUAUAGGUGAUCUUUGUUUUGCAUAGUCACCAGAAUCUGUUAUCAUUGCACAACAUUGCGAACUCAGUGACUGCUUGACCUUGGCUAGGUUUAUCAGAUAGUUGGACAUUCUAAUAUAUUCACGGUGAUUUGGGACUUCCCCACCUCUCAGCUUUCACUUAUUUUAUUUUUUAUAAUGGGAUCGUCUGUGUAGGCAUUAUUUCCACAUUUCUAUUUAUUCUGAUCAAUCUUUUCGCUUUGGUUUGGUGAAACUAUUUGUUAUCAUCCGUAUAUGAUCAUUAUUUAGUCAUGUCUUCCAAAUUGCUAAAUAUAGAGCAUUAUUUAAGUAUUUUAUAUAUUCACGGCUACUUAUUUGACCACCAUACUCGCCUGAUUACAUAUUUUUGUGCAUGUCUUUUACGCAUUUUGUUUUGUCCCAUCCUUCUAACCUGUCUCAGGUGGUGCAAUGCCUUCGCAGUUAUGUAGGUACUAUUUUUAUGACUUGAGGAUGCCCACUAUUGCAGAACAAGAACAAUUUCAAAAUGACCUUCAAUUGAAUCUCCUUGGUGAUGUAACAUUUUAAACUCAAGAUGGCGUAUUGGUUGGUGUAUUAUUUGUUAUCUGGGUCACAAGAGAUAAAGCUUCCUUGCGCCAUUUACACUAAAUAUAUAUAUUUUUUUGUCGGUCUAUGGUGAAAUGAAGUAGGGAUGUAACGAAAAGUGUAGUUUAAAUUGGGGAAACAAUUUUUUUUUUUAAAUCAUGCGAAACGAAGAGUUUGAAUGUCGUGCGAAUAAUUAUAUGUGUAGAUGGGGAAAAACGAUUUGCUGAUUUUUACGGAAUCGAGGAGAUGACCGUGAGGAGGGGACUCCUUGAACCGAGCAAAUGCGCAACCUUA